rnacentral:tRNA from 1 species
CGGGGCGUGGCGCAGCUUGGUAGCGCGUUCGGCUGGGGGCCGAAAGGUCGCGAGUUCAAAUCUCGCCGCCCCGACUA